UGGGGAAUAUUGCGCAAUGGGCGAAAGCCUGACGCAGCGACGCCGCGUGGAGGAUGAAGGUCUUAGGAUUGUAAACUCCUGUCAGAUGGGAAGAAAAGAUCUAUUUUUAAUAGAGAUAGAUUAUGACGGUACCAUCAGAGGAAGCACCGGCUAACUUCGUGCCAGCAGCCGCGGUAAUACGAAGGGUGCGAGCGUUAUUCGGAAUCACUGGGCGUAAAGGGUGCGUAGACGGUAUGUUAAGUUUGUCGUUAAAGACUCUGGCCUAACCAGAGGGUUGCGAUGAAAACUGGUAAGCUAGAGGGUGAGAGAGAGAAGUGGAAUUCCCGGAGUAGCGGUAAAAUGCGUGGAUCUCGGGAGGAACACCAAUGGCGAAGGCAGCUUCUUGGCUCAUUCCUGACGUUGAGGCACGAAAGCGUGGGGAGCGAACAGG
rnacentral:rRNA from 1 species